CAGUCGCCACGGUAAUACGAAGGGUGCAAGCGUUAAUCGGAAUUACUGGGCGUAAAGCGUGCGUAGGCGGUGAGUUAAGUCUGCUGUGAAAUCCCCGGGCUCAACCUGGGAAUGGCAGCGGAUACUGGCAAGCUAGAGUGUGUCAGAGGAUGGUGGAAUUCCCGGUGUAGCGGUGAAAUGCGUAGAGAUCGGGAGGAACAUCAGUGGCGAAGGCGGCCAUCUGGGACAACACUGACGCUGAGGCACGAAAGCGUGGGGAGCAAACAGGAUUAGAUACCCCAGUAGUCCCUGUCUCUUAUAA
rnacentral:rRNA from 1 species